UACGUAGGUGGCAAGCGUUAUCCGGAUUUAUUGGGUGUAAAGGGCGUGUAGGCGGGAGCGCAAGUCAGAUGUGAAAACUCAGGGCUCAACCCUGAGCCUGCAUUUGAAACUGUGUUUCUUGAGUGCUGGAGAGGCAAUCGGAACUCCGUGUGUAGCGGUGAAAUGCGUAGAUAUACGGAGGAACACCAGUGGCGAAGGCGGAUUGCUGGACAGUAACUGACGCUGAGGCGCGAAAGCGUGGGGAGCAAACAGG
rnacentral:rRNA from 1 species